UACGGAGGGGGCUAGCGUUAUUCGGAAUUACUGGGCGUAAAGCGUGCGCAGGCGGUUGUGCAAGACAGAUGUGAAAUCCCCGGGCUCAACCUGGGAACUGCAUUUGUGACUGCACAGCUUGAGUGCGGCAGAGGGGGAUGGAAUUCCGCGUGUAGCAGUGAAAUGCGUAGAUAUGCGGAGGAACACCGAUGGCGAAGGCAAUCCCCUGGGCCUGCACUGACGCUCAUGCACGAAAGCGUGGGGAGCAAACAGG
rnacentral:rRNA from 1 species